GGUUGUGGCUCAGCGGUAGAGCGCUCGCCUAGCACGUGCGAGGCCCUGGGUUCCAUCCUUAGCACCA
rnacentral:tRNA from 1 species